rnacentral:rRNA from 1 species
GAUGAACGCUAGCUACAGGCUUAACACAUGCAAGUCGAGGGGCAGCGGGAUUGAAGCUUGCUUCAAUUGCCGGCGACCGGCGCACGGGUGAGUAACGCGUAUCCAACCUUCCGUACACUCAGGGAUAGCCUUUCGAAAGAAAGAUUAAUACCUGAUGGUAUGAUGAGAUCGCAUGGUAUCAUCAUUAAAGAUUUAUCGCUUCAAGAUGGCCUCGCGUCUGAUUAGCUAGUUGGCGGGGUAACGGCCCACCAAGGCGACGAUCAGUAGCCGGACUGAGAGGUUGAACGGCCACAUUGGGACUGAGAUACGGCCCAGACUCCUACGGAGGCAGCAGUGGGGAAUAUUGGGCAAUGGGCGAGAGUCUGAACCAGCCAAGUAGCGUGCAGG